AUUGAACGCUGGCGGCAGGCCUAACACAUGCAAGUCGAACGGUAGCACAGAGAGCUUGCUCUCGGGUGACGAGUGGCGGACGGGUGAGUAACGUCUGGGAAACUGCCCGAUGGAGGGGGAUAACUACUGGAAACGGUAGCUAAUACAGCAUAACGUCGCAAGACCAAAGUGGGGGACCUUCGGGCCUCACACCAUCGGAUGUGCCCAGAUGGGAUUAGCUAGGAGGUGGGGUAAUGGCUCACCUAGGCGACGAUCCCUAGUUGGUCUGAGAGGAUGACCAGCCACACUGGAACUGAGACACGGUCCAGACUCCUACGGGAGGCAGCAGUGGGGAAUAUUGCACAAUGGGCGCAAGCCUGAUGCAGCCAUGCCGCGUGUAUGAAGAAGGCCUUCGGGUUGUAAAGUACUUUCAGCGGGGAGGAAGGCGGUGAAGUUAAUAGCUUCACCGAUUGACGUUACCCGCAGAAGAAGCACCGGCUAACUCCGUGCCAGCCGCCGCCGUAA
rnacentral:rRNA from 1 species